ensembl:lncRNA
CUGAACGCCCACCAUGGCCGUCCGCUGCGCUGUCUGGAUCCUCACAGAAAUGUAUUUCCCCGAAGUCGUUUCUCACUCUGCAUCAUUCGCGGAUAGCCAGCCCGUCGCUAGUCGUCCAGCUGGCGACCUAAACAACAACAACAACAGAAAAAACACAUUUAUUUUGCACUUUAAAACAAGUUGGCUGACGGCUGUUGGCUUGCUCUUUUGACGCGAGAAGUCAUCGGCGAUUUUUUUUUCUUUUUUUUUAACGGAAAAAAAACGCCCGAUUUUUCGGUCGACGGGUAUCGACGUUAACCGGCUACACGCCAGCUCGCGACAUUUUGCUGCUUUUUUAAAAGUCAUUUUUAUUCGUGCUUUUGUUUUUGUUGUCAGUGGCGUUUCGUCCGCCUCCCCACCCCUCCUCUCCCACGCAUUGUAUCGUGACGCUUCUAACAGUAAACACUAUACCGUUUUUUAAAAGUAAUUUCACGGGAUAUUUUUUUUUUUGGGGAGGGUUUGUUUUGCUGAAAACAUAACAUUACCGUACCUGCUGUGUGGCCGCUGUUUACCUCGCUGUCUGCCAAGUCGGACUCGAACUGCGACUGAAUCUGCGCUCCAUCUCUUUACGGGUAACUUCUAGAAAGAAGACUUUGGACGACGCUUUUCUGCCUAUUUUGUUGUUAGUUUUUUUUUUCCUGCCGUGAACCGACUCUACACCGAAAGCGGCCAACAACUGUGCUUAACGCAAAGGUCAGGGACAUCGGAACGGGACAUAUUUUGCCUAAUUGUAGUGCCACGCUGCCAGUGAGGGUGAACCUGAUGCACGGAGGACACCCCGGGGUCAUUGCUGAGGGAGGGAGACCGGGGAAGGCAGGUAAGGUUAUAUGUGUGCCAAAAGAGGUCAGGAGGGAAGCUAGGCCUCAGGAGACAUCUGUGUUCUACCAGGCUGUUUUGUGUGUGUGUGUGUGUGUGUGUGUGUGUGUGUGUGUGUGUGUGUGUGUGUGUGUGUGUGUGUGUGUGUGUGUGUGUGUGUGUGUGUGUGUGUGUGAUAAACACUUGAAUAUCAUAAUAAUAUAACACUUAGCCAGUAAAUAUCAUGUGCGUCAUGAAUUCAUUGGGAUGGAUGAACCACAUUUGUCCAUCAAAACUCUUAGGCUGGCUGACAUAAAUAGGGAGAUGGACCGUUAUUAGGAUGAUCCACUGAAUAUGCAGAUUUUUGAAAGUGGCAUUGAUUUGAGACCACAGUCCUGUUUUAGAGAUUAGUGCCCACUGCACUUAGGGAAGAGUAAACACACACAUAUUCUGUCCCACUGGUCCGGCUCAUGCCUCUUUAGUAGUUCCCAGGAGCUGUCACCAAUGCUGAGCCAAAGGAAAGACAGCCGCAAAAGUGGCACUGAGCUUCCGCGGCCCCCCGGGCCAGCUAUCUAUCUAUCCAUCUAGUUCGCCCACUAGAAAAAACUUUUGUGUUUCGUAUUCUGUCAGUGUGCUUAAAGCCUGGUGUCCUUUCUGUCCCUCUAAUCCUGUGCCUUUUUAUCUUCCCGCCAUUCCCUGCUGUCUUUGAACCAACUCUUCACACUGUUACUGCUCUGUCGUGGGCUUUGAUUUAUGUCUCUAACUCUUUUCUGUUCCUACGUCUCCAUUGCAUCGUUUCAUUUUACAGUGUUUGACCAUGAGUGAAAGUGUUUCUCAGAAGCACCUGCGAUGAUUCUUUUUUCUUUUAGGUUGAUGAUUGUGAAUUGGAAAAGUUAAUUUGUCUCUGAAGGGAUUUAAAGUACAAGGCGCAAAAAGAACAGAACUUACCCGGGAAAUAUGUCUUGUGUGAUGGGAG